rnacentral:rRNA from 1 species
GACGAACGCUGGCGGCGUGCUUAACACAUGCAAGUCGAACGGAAAGGCCCUGCUUUUGUGGGGUGCUCGAGUGGCGAACGGGUGAGUAACACGUGAGUAACCUGCCCUUGUCUUAGGGAUAACUUCAGGAAACUGGGGCUAAUACCGGAUAGGAGCUCCUGCUGCAUGGUGGGGGUUGGAAAGUUUCGGCGGUUGGGGAUGGACUCGCGGCUUAUCAGCUUGUUGGUGGGGUAGUGGCUUACCAAGGCUUUGACGGGUAGCCGGCCUGAGAGGGUGACCGGCCACAUUGGGACUGAGGUACGGCCCAGACUCCUACGGGAGGCAGCAGUGGGGAAUAUUGCACAAUAGGGGGAAGCCUGAUGCAGCAACGCCGCGUGCGGGAUGACGGCCUUCGGGUUGUAAACCGCUUUCGCCUGUGACGAAGCGUGAGUGACGGUAAUGGGUAAAGAAGCACCGGCUAACUACGUG